rnacentral:misc_RNA from 1 species
UUAACUUAUUACAAUAGGUACUCAGAGAUUCACGUUUGUAAAAACAAGAGUUUGUAGGGCCUCCGGCAGGCACCCAACGACCCCGCCCUGGGGUCGCCUGCCGAAGCAACGUUUUUGGUAGGUAGACAGUGGGUUUUGAGCGUGUUUAACUCUGUAAUGAUCCCUCCGCUGGUUCACCAACGGAGA